AGGCGCUGGGGAUGCGGGUGAAUAACCGGCUUCUGCCUGCGAGGGUCAUGGGGCUGAAAGCUGGAAAUCUGGAGGUGCCCAUCACAAGCGAUUGGGCGAUGUCUGUCAGAAAGAUGAAAAAAGUGCUCCUUCGAUUUGCUCCUGUAAUCUCACUUCUAAGACUGUCUUGAGGAAAUAGGCUCUAAUACUGCCUUGUAGAGCCACUGCCUUUGGAUGAUGAGGUGCUGCAAAUUGUUGAAUCUUACUGCAAACCUGCUCAAGAACACCGUCCAGGACUUGCCACGGGCACCUGUGAGGUGGUCCUGCAGUAGAGAAGCUCCCAAGAGCGCAGCUUCCCACAGGCGCGCCUGAUCUUUUCAUCGACAUCAAUACUUUGUAGGUCAUUUGCCCACCUACUGAGCAAGACCCAAAUUUCGCCCAACAGCUGCACUUCUGACCUCACAUCUCAGAGACACUCAGCUGAGCAGAGGACUCAGCCCACUCUCCCAGUGAGCUGCCUCUCCAUGGUCUGCCUCUCCUCAGAUCCCUGGCCUUGGCUCCCCCACGGGGGAGCGACUCUAACCAGAGGGCACAGGUGAGUCCCACCCAGCCCCCACCCCAACUGGUGCGCAGGUGCAGAUGCCCCCCCAGGAGGCCCUGCCUGGACUGCUUGGCCGUCUCACCUCCAGUCCACUCCUCCGCUCAGGCCAUGGGCUCUGCCGUUUGUGCCCCUGGCACAAGGACUCCGAGGCUGUGUGUUCCCCUGAAGCCAGCACUCGCCUCUCUCCCUUCAGCGCCCUGCACCUGCCCUCCCCAAAUGCUCAUGGGUUCUCCACCACCUCCCUGGUGAGGUGGCCGCGGCUCCUCUCCAUCUAUGCUCUUCCCACCACCGCAGCCUCGGCUCCUCAAGCUCCUCUUGCACCUGGAAUUGCCCACCUGGUAUUUCCACCUGAGUGGAAUGGCACAUUCCUGAUCCCCUCUCUGAUUCAGCUCUGUCGCCACAUGGGGGCCUGGAUGGACCACCAGGGGCCACGGGCUGCCUUCCUCCCUGACGCCCACACCUACUCCACCAGCAAGUCCUUCCGGGGGACCCCCACCCCAGCCCAUCUCGUUGGCCUCCAUCUUUUACUUGGUCCCUCCUGUCACUCAGGGACAGAACCUGGCUGGAGGAGGUGGUGGCCGUCUGAGCCACCCAGGCCAGCCUUGGUUCCCAUGUGCCUCAACUCUCAGGUUUAAGCGUGCUCUCUGUACCAGCUGCCACACGAGCCGGCUCUCACCUGGUGCUGCCUAAGCAGUGACUCUUCUCUGGGACCACACUCCCAAGGGGAUUUCCAAGGUGACGUGUGACUGCCUGCUCUUUUCUACUAUGUGGGUGUGAGGAAAGAAACGGGACUGUCACGUCACAACCACCAGGGCAGUGUCCAUGCUCCCACAUAGCCGUUGGAGCUGAGUGAGGCUUGGGUGGCCAACAAGGGCCCGUUUCCUACAGGGGCUGUGGAGGGGUCUGCUCAGCCUAGCCCCGUGUCUCACCCCCGGCACAGGCGAGGACCUCCACAAAGUGGUAUGGCGACUUGCCCUUCUUCAGCUUCAGGAUCACGUUC